UACGAAGGGGGCUAGCGUUGCUCGGAAUCACUGGGCGUAAAGCGCACGUAGGCGGAUUGCUAAGUCAGGGGUGAAAUCCUGGAGCUCAACUCCAGAACUGCCCUUGAUACUGGCGGUCUCGAGUCCGGGAGAGGUGAGUGGAACUGCGAGUGUAGAGGUGAAAUUCGUAGAUAUUCGCAAGAACACCAGUGGCGAAGGCGGCUCACUGGCCCGGUACUGACGCUGAGGUGCGAAAAGCGUGGGGGAGCAAACAGG
rnacentral:rRNA from 1 species